AAUUUUUCCUGUAAUGGUUUUUUGUUUAAAUGUUUUUUCGCCUAAGGAUGGGUCUGCGGCCGAUUAGGUAGUUGGUUAGGUAAUGGCUUACCAAGCCGUUGAUCGGUACGGGUUGUGAGAGCAAGAGCCCGGAGAUGGAACCUGAGACAAGGUUCCAGGCCCUACGGGGCGCAGCAGGCGCGAAACCUCCGCAAUGUGAGAAAUCGCGACGGGGGGAUCCCAAGUGCCAUUCUUAACGGGAUGGCUUUCCAUUAGUGUAAAGAGCUUUUGGAAUAAGGGCUGGGCAAGACCGGUGCCAGCCGCCGCGGUAACACCGGCAGCUCUAGUGGUAGCAGUUUUUAUUGGGCCUAAAGCGUCCGUAGCCGGUUUAAUAAGUCUCUGGUGAAAUCCUGUAGCUUAACUGUGGGAAUUGCUGGAGAUACUAUUAGACUUGAGAUCGGGAGAGGUUAGAGGUACUCCCAGGGUAGAGGUGAAAUUCUGUAAUCCUGGGAGGACCGCCUGUUGCGAAGGCGUCUAACUGGAACGAUUCUGACGGUGAGGGACGAAAGUUAGGGGCGCGAACCGGAUUAGAUACCCGGGUAGUCCUAACUGUAAACGAUGCGGACUUGGUGUUGGGGUGGCUUUGAGCUGCUCCAGUGCCGAAGGGAAGCUGUUAAGUCCGCCGCCUGGGAAGUACGGUCGCAAGACUGAAACUUAA
rnacentral:rRNA from 1 species